rnacentral:rRNA from 1 species
AUGAACGCUGGCGGCGUGCCUAAUACAUGCAAGUCGAGCGAACAGACGAGGAGCUUGCUCCUCUGACGUUAGCGGCGGACGGGUGAGUAACACGUGGAUAACCUACCUAUAAGACUGGGAUAACUUCGGGAAACCGGAGCUAAUACCGGAUAAUAUAUUGAACCGCAUGGUUCAAUAGUGAAAGACGGUUUUGCUGUCACUUAUAGAUGGAUCCGCGCCGCAUUAGCUAGUUGGUAAGGUAACGGCUUACCAAGGCGACGAUGCGUAGCCGACCUGAGAGGGUGAUCGGCCACACUGGAACUGAGACACGGUCCAGACUCCUACGGGAGGCAGCAGUAGGGAAUCUUCCGCAAUGGGCGAAAGCCUGACGGAGCAACGCCGCGUGAGUGAUGAAGGUCUUCGGAUCGUAAAACUCUGUUAUUAGGGAAGAACAAAUGUGUAAGUAACUAUGCACGUCUUGACGGUACCUAAUCAGAAGGCCACGGCUAACUACGUG